rnacentral:rRNA from 1 species
GACGAACGCUGGCGGCGUGCUUAACACAUGCAAGUCGAACGGAAAGGCCCUGCUUUUGUGGGGUGCUCGAGUGGCGAACGGGUGGGUAACACGUGAGUAACCUGCCCUUGACUUUGGGAUAACUUCAGGAAACUGGGGCUAAUACCGGAUAGGAGCUCCUGCUGCAUGGUGGGGGUUGGAAAGUUUCGGCGGUUGGGGAUGGACUCGCGGCUUAUCAGCUUGUUGGUGGGGUAGUGGCUUACCAAGGCUUUGACGGGUAGCCGGCCUGAGAGGGUGACCGGCCACAUUGGGACUGAGAUGCGGCCCAGCCUCCUACGGGAGGCAGCAGUGGGGAAUAUUGCACAAUGGGCGGAAGCCUGAUGCAGCAACGCCGCGUGCGGGAUGACGGCCUUCGGGUUGUAAACCGCUUUCGCCUGUGACGAAGCGUGAGUGACGGUAAUGGGUAAAGAAGCACCGGCUAACUACGUG